CACGCCGUAAACUAUGGAUGCUAGCUGUUAUAGGUAUCGACCCCUGUAGUAGCGAAGCUAACGCGUUAAGCAUCCCGCCUGUGGAGUACGAGCGCAAGCUUAAAACAUAAAGGAAUUGACGGGGACCCGCACAAGCGGUGGAGCGUGUUGUUUAAUUCGAUGGUAAGCGAAGAACCUUACCCAGGCUUGACAUCCUUGGAACGCCUUCGAAAGAAGAUGGUGCCUUCGGGAACCAAGUGACAGGUGA
rnacentral:rRNA from 1 species